CCGCAACGAGCGCAACCCUUAUCCUUUGUUGCCAGCGAUUCGGUCGGGAACUCAAAGGAGACUGCCGGUGAUAAACCGGAGGAAGGUGGGGAUGACGUCAAGUCAUCAUGGCCCUUACGAGUAGGGCUACACACGUGCUACAAUGGCGCAUACAAAGAGAAGCGACCUCGCGAGAGCAAGCGGACCUCACAAAGUGCGUCGUAGUCCGGAUCGGAGUCUGCAACUCGACUCCGUGAAGUCGGAAUCGCUAGUAAUCGUGGAUCAGAAUGCCACGGUGAAUACGUUCCCGGGCCUUGUACACACCGCCCGUCACACCAUGGGAGU
rnacentral:rRNA from 1 species